rnacentral:rRNA from 1 species
UACGUAGGGGGGCUAGCGUUGUUCGGAAUCACUGGGCGUAAAGCGCACGUAGGCGGAUUGUUAAGUCGGAGGUGAAAUCCCAGGGCUCAACCCUGGAACUGCCUUCGAUACUGGCUAUCUCGAGUCCGGGAGAGGUGAGUGGAACUGCGAGUGUAGAGGUGAAAUUCGUAGAUAUUCGCAAGAACACCAGUGGCGAAGGCGGCUCACUGGCCCGGUACUGACGCUGAGGUGCGAAAGCGUGGGGAGCAAACAGG